UUUUUAUCAAUCAUAUAUAAAGUUUAAUAACCCAAUUAUUUUACAAAACACACAGACACAGUGUAUAUUAACACACCGUUUAUUAUUACUUAUUUUGGAAAUGUCUUACGUUGACGAAAAUAUUCUGUUUUAAUACGUCAUCUGAAAAUACCUUCGUGUUGCAACCUUUGCAACAAAAUCGGCGAAGUGAACGUCCAUACAUACACAUUUUGAUACAUAUUUUUUUGAAUUAUAGAUAUAAUUUUUUUACGAUUUUGGGUUGUGACUUACUAAGGUAAAAUGUCAUCUAAACAAACAUGGUGUCCUAUUUUGGCAGAAAAAGUUUUUUUUAUGUUCGUUAAAUACACCAUCGUUUGUAAUGGUGACUGGAAUUUUCCAUUCGAAUCGUGUUUCAAGGACAUCUGUUAAUUUUAUUGUUUUGGUUAGCUACGUUAACCCCUAUUCGAUUUAAGUAGACAUACCUCGCUUUCAAAACAUAAUGUGGGACGACUAUGUAGAUUUUAUUUAAGACUAAUCCCAGUGAAAAGGCAUGAAAAUAAAACAAAUAAAAAAAUACACACAGAACAUCCAAAAGUGGAUUACCUAAUCAAUUCUUGAGAAAGCCAUUCUAGUUUUAAUAGUGACGUGUGAGUUUAUGAAUACCAAAUACUAAUUUGUAGUUUACCUAUAUAGUUCCAAAGUGUACUGAGUAAAAUUAUGGCUUACAUUUGAUGUUUGUUACAUGUAGGAGUCAUGACAGAUUUUCCCUAAGAUUGCUUGCUGCUUAUCAAUUAUUACAAAAACUAUAUAGAAAUAUUUAACGUAGUAAUGUAAUUACUUCUCCUUUCACGGGCUUUAGAUAUGUUAGCACUUUGAUAUUUGAGGGUCAGAAACGGCCAAUUGAUUUCCAGUGCUAAUAUAUGAACAAGAGCAAUGUGGGUAAGCCUAUUAACAGGAUCUGUAGUGUUUAUUUUUAAAAGUAAAAAUAGUAAAGAUGAGUGCUGAUACAUUUCAGUAACGUUAAUUGAAUAGCCCCCAACCAAGUGGUUUUACAAAUAUAUGGACUUUCUAAAAUGAUUAGUCAUGCUAAUAUUGAGAUGUGACAUGUAUUGAGUGAGAACACACUUGGCAUUCAUUGCUGAUAUACUUGUAUACUUGACUAUUUGACUACUCACCAUCAAACAAUUGUUUUCAUCAAAAGCAAUAAAAUAGUUAUAUGAUACUUAUGAUAUGUGAUGUCUUAGCCUGUGUUAAAUCUGUUAAUAUACUUUCUGAAUAUGCGGAUGCUUAUGUGGAUGAAAUGCGGGACAAAAUGAAAAUCUCAUUUGACUAAAAACCCAAGCUUUUACACUUUUGCUUUGCCGUCUUUAAAUAAAUCACUCCUCAAGAUCAUGCAUAAACAAUGUAAAUGGAUUUAAUACAAACUCCACUGGAAUUGCUAUGGUUUCUUUAUGAAGAAUUGCAAAUCUACAGUUACAUGUUUGUAUUAUUGGUAUGGCUUGUAUAUAUGCUUUAUAUUGUAGUUCAUUAGAUAUUACCAUAUUAUACCCUACUAGACAAUAUGUCAGUGGCCAUUUGCUAAAUAUUUUUUGUACAACCAAUUAAGUUUUUCAAAUUGACUAUUCGGUUAGAGGUUGAUGAAGAUCUGAUAAGCUGCCGUUUGAGAUAAAAGAUUUUCUGGUUUUAAAAUUUUUGUUCCGCUGAACCAUUAUUCAUUUUCAGUUAACAAUGAUGACUCAAAGAUCACAGCGAUGCCUCCAAUGAACACUACGCGAACCCCAAAUUUGUAGGUUUACAGGAGGAACAUUUAAACCAAAAAAGUUGAUAAAAUCUUUAUUAUUGCAGAUAUAUUUAUGAUUUUUUUUGUGUAACUAGCAGAUUUACUCUUGCUUCGAACGCCAUCAAUAAUAAUUUGUAAUACUUUUAAAAUAGUGAAGCGAUUUGCGUGAAAAACGAGAAUUUCAAAAUUUUUAGUUACAGUAGUGUUCAUUGGAGGCAUCGACAGAUCUUUUUAUUAGAUCUGGAUCCAAAGGUAUACACAUGCUAUUUCAACUAUAUUCCAUAUUAAAAAGUGAUAGAAAUGUAACAAUAUUCUUAAACAAAUGCCAUUAAAAUUAUCUUAAAUUGUACAUAGUACUUUCAUUAAUCUAGCUCAAACAAAUGUUUAUUUAUCUAAGAGUAUCUUGUCUUUUAUCUUGUGUGAGCGUGCACUUGAUUUCAUGAAAAUUUUCCAUGAUAACAUUUUAAUGUUACAUGUCAAGGAAUAAAACUUAUUAUUAUUUGUGUGCAAUUGAUAUUGAAUUGAAUUGAAAUGGCAUUGAUUGACUUAUUGUGAUGCCUCGUCUGCAAUGUCUUUACUAACAUAACCUAUUUUGUACAUUUUAGGUUUGUAUUUUAUAUAUUUAUGCAUAGACAAUAUCUUGAGUGAUACUUUUUGUUGCAAUAUCAUCGUAUAUAUAUACGAGCAGGUAGUCCGUAGCAUCCUUUGGGAAUCUGAUGUAAUCAACGAUUGAUAUGCCAAAUUCUUGCAAGUGUAAAUAUUAUUACACAAAUGCUAUGCUAUAUAUUUGGCGGAAAUUUCGUGAAUUCAGAUCUCUUUGCCACAAUUAUGCCGGCUUUCAUUUUUCAUAAAUAGUGGUUGAGCUUCUUUUUUUUUAAAACAUACAGUCGAAUUGCGAACUACCUCCUUUUUUGAAGUCGGUUAAAAAGCCUCAGCUUUUAAGGAGCUUGAAUUGGAGCAAUAAUCGAAAUGGAUGUCUAAUAAGCUAAGAGAAAUGUCGAUUAUUUAUAUGUCACAAUAUAUGUAGGUAUAAAGUAGGUAUAUAUGUAUUUGUAUGCGUCGCAGAAGGUCGCGUAAGAUCAAUUGAUACAAAUGUGUAACGAUCGUAUGUCUGAUGUGAUCGGCGCGUGCCUGUACUAUUUAUAGUAUCGCUUUAAAACUAUAGUUUGUAGAGUUGGAAUGAAAUCAUACCUCGUUUGUAUAGAAUUCGCCGACAAUAUGAACAAAUAAAAUAUAGAGAUCACAAUAAAUGCAUUGAUUGCGGGAAAUCGAACAAAGGACCAUGGAAAUUAAGCAGAAAAAUAAAGUCGCAUUUAAUUAAGACCUUUCUAAAUUAUUCUUAGGACAUUCGUAGUUAUAACUUGUUCACCAAAGGCUACGGUGUAAGGUUAAAACGUGGAAUAAAAGUUACCCUAAAAAAAGCCAGUUACGGAAUACCACUCUGCUAUGCUGUGAAGCACUGAUGCGUCUUAGUAAGACAGUUGUGGUACGCUAAAAUUUAACCUGUUUUAAUGUCUUGAGAUGGGUAUUCAAGUUCAGCUCUGUUGUAUUCAAUGACUCGGUUAUGGAGAUCGUGUAUAACAACACCCUUAUUAGUAGUGGAUGUCUUUGCUUUUCUAAGUAACGAAAGUUUUGACAGACUAUUAUCAUCUAAAAUCCUUUGCCCUCGGAUUUAUAUUGAAAAAAAAAAGUCUAGUUCGCAAGUGUUGAAAAAUAUCACUCAAGUCUGUUUAUAAUAGGUACCUACCAAUAGUAAAUUCACAAAAAAAAGGUAGAGAGAGUAAGAGAAAACAAAAUUAUUGCACAAACAACGGAAUCACGUUACGCUUACGUUAGAAAGAGAGAAGCGUAGUUGGCGAGCUCGCUUAUAAAAGGGACAAAUGAUUCUUUAGAAUUGCAAAACAAUAGGUGAAUUAUGUCUUUUGAAAUGUUCAAUUUUCAUUUCCAAGAAACCACGUAUGCUUUAACCUUGAACGUUCGUAGCUCCAAGUGUUGUUCUUUUAAGUAUGUUUCUGAAUUUAAUGGGAUAAUUUUAUGCCAACGAUUCAAUCUCACCUCUAAAAGCUGUUGAAAAGACAUCACAUUAAUGCCUCUUGACUAGGCACCUGGAUAGAGUAGAUAUGUCGCGAACUCCUACCCUACAGAAAAAUAUCGACCUUUAGAGUAAACAAAAUCCCUAUGACCUAGACGCCUGCAGCCUCAACACUAGGAUCAGGUAACCGUAGUCGUUCAAGGAUUCGAGGUGAAAUCUAGCGCGUAACAUUUGCCCACUGAGUAUCUUCUCUGGUCUUCUCAGCGGGUUGCGAUUCUAAUUCUGUAGUAAAUGCAUUCGCGAAGCAACUGUCUUUGAGACGUUAGGUCUUUUGAGGCGCUCGGGCAGUUGUUAGCAAAUCCCACCUCUGCUGGCCAAGCCCUGGCUCGGCCACCUGACCUGGAAAAACUAGACCACUUUUCGGCCACACACAUUCGGGCCACUAGUAAACCUUCCUUCCUAAAUUCAAAUGUAAAAACUAAAAAAAAAUCCCUACAUCUGGUCCUUAUCUAGAAUAGCGUUUGGCGUGUUUCAUAACAUUUUUAUCACGUAAUAAUGACGUAACAACUCUAGGAUGGACUAUCAUGUACCCCGAUACCCGAGCGCUUAUAACGUAUCUUUUUGUAAACCAAGUUGAAAAAGAGUAGUGUAACGGCAAUCAGGAUUUCACUAGCCCAUCAUAUGCUUUCUCCUGCCAUUGCUUGCGUCCGUGAACGCGAGCUCGUAAAUUUAUCUGCAUCUGAAGAAAAUGAGACCGAAAACAGCACCUUCACGCCGAAUAUUGCACCAUUAAAAUCCAUGCCCGCUGAGUUUCUCGCCGGAACUUCUCGGCGGGUCGCGAUUCCGAUCCGGUAGUAGAUUUAUUCGUGAAGCAGCUGCUCUAGAGUUGUUAGGUCUCCUUCGGAGUCGUAUGGGCAGCUGUUAGAUAAGCUCCUGGCUGAGCCAAUGCUCGCCCACCUGUCUUGGUGAAAUUGGAAAGGCCUCCAGGCUAACCAAUCAAUUCAAUCAUAAAAAAGCCAUUAAAAUUGCUGUUUUCAUUCAAUAAAUAUAAGAUAUGCCGUGGUGGCUACUCACUCACAAUCGGUUGCUCUUGGCAGAGCAGUCGUGGUCAUGUGGAAUUCUUGGUGGCUACAUGGUACUGAUAAACGGCGCGAACCAAACUCGCAAUGUGAAUGCAUAAAGUUGGCUUGGGUUUGCGCGAGAAAUUGACAACAUUGCGCUCCGAUCCUAAUUUCGUUUUGACCACGCGGGGAAAGUCAAAGUUGCAUUCAUCACUUGCUGGAGAAGGAACACCAAUGUGGGAAUGGUAUAAUGGAGCCUCUGAGCCGACGCGGCCGGGGCGAGCGGGCACCCCUAAAAUAACUAGAAUCUAGACCAAACAUAUUAUAAAUUAUUAUGAACCCAAACAAAACUCACGUGACACUAGAAUUGGCGCGAAAUGUGUUUACGCGUUAUUUAUAAUUUCAGCCCGGCAAAAGGCGUGGUCGCGAUGCCUUUCACUCGGGCUUUGAGCCAAAUUAUUAAAAAAAUAUAUAUAAAUACAAACGGAAAUGCACGACGUAUUUCUACAUUUUUAAUGAAAGACAGCAAGUGCUAUACUACACAAGCGAAAUAAUUGAAUUAUGAUCCUUCGAGCCUACGUCAGCUGUGACGUCAAUCGCUGUAACCAAAGUGAGAGGUUGGCUGGCCAAUUUAAAUAGAAGAAAAUAACAUCAAUAUGGCGUCACACACGUUUACAUUUUACGUAAACAGAAAUCCGAUGUUUGAAAUGAAACCAUGUCGCAGCAACUUUACAAGUACCUAACAACUUAGAUCGAAGAGCAAUCGUAAUUUGAAUGUUUUUUUUUUUUUUUUUAUUGCCCUUGUAGGCAGACGAGCAUACGGCCCACCUGAUGGUGAGUGGUUACCGUCGCCCAUGGACUUCAGCAAUGCCAGGGGCAGAGCCAAGCCGCUGCCUACCGCUUAAUACUCUCCACAAGCCUCGUUUGAAGAAGGACAUGUCAUAGCGCUCGGGAAACACCGUGGAGGGGAGCUCAUUCCAUAGCCGGAUGGUACGUGGCAAAAAAGAUCUCUGGAAACGCACUGUGGAUGACCGCAGUGGCUCCAGGUAGUAUGGAUGAACUCUACUCCGGUGGCGGGCGGUGCGAUGGUAAAAACGAGAUGCCGGUAUCAUCUCGAACAAUUCCUUAGAGCACUCCCCAUGGAACAUACGGUACAGAAUACAGAGGGAACCGAAGUCCCUCCGCAGACCCAGAGGCUCCAAACGAUCCGUGAGAAUGGGAUUAUCGACAAUCCGAACGUUAUAUAACGAACCGUGUGGUGAUAUUAUUACUUAAUUAGUCCAGUUCUAGUUUUGUAGACUACAAAAAGAACAGUUCUAAUUUGACUACUCUAAGCCAUACGCAGCAAAAGUUUAUUGCUUUGAAGCGCUGUAUUCUUCGCGGAGAGAGCUAUUUUUUUCUGUAUAAGGCGCAGCAUUGACGUAUGUACAGCGAGAAUAUUUUUCCAAGAGUCUAUACCUGCAGGUUGGAGCAGUACCAAGGGUCAGGUUAAUAUGCCUUUGCAGCCUAAGUCUUGGCUGUCUCGUUACGGUCCACAUUUGAAUUCUUAUGUUAUUCAGAUCCGUGUUGAGAGGUUCAGAUAUGGCGGUCAUCGAAUUCGCUUAGGGUUUCCCCACAUAGUCGGUUAGAUAUCAGAUAUCCUCUUAAAUCGAUUGUUAUGCUGUGAGGAACUGUGAGAUAACGCGUCAUUUCCUUUUUACCAGUCUCGCGGUCAUGUGUUAUCCCAUAGCACUCCCAAACCUCCCCUGUUCCGAACGCUGUGAUAUAAAAUAUCCUUCUAAUGAGUAUCGAGAAGAGGCUUCCUGUAAACCACGUCCCAUACAUUUCACUCUGUAUUAAUUGUAGACCUUAAUUUGAGCACCAUCCUGAUGCUAAGCAUCAUGAUUGCAAUAAAGUUUUAAUUCCUUGCAGUCCAAUACUGCUUAAAAUUAUAUACCUCACUGAUUGAUUAAUAAAUAAAACAUUAUUAAAUUAUUAUUGAAGUGUUGUGAAUAUUGCACCUGGCAAUCAAUUUGCAGUGAGAAUGCCAUAGACAAGCCAUAGUCUAAUGCUAUCCGUUAGUUACAAGGUUAGUUCCGUAAAUAAAAAAAAAAUUGCCAUAAUAAAAAAAUAAAAAAAUCGAUUCCCGAACGACUCGGCGCGUGACCUUGAAAACCAAAUCUGCUAUUUUCCUCGCGCCAAAAAUUCUUUCUCCCAUUUGUCUUUUUCUAGUUUUGUUUCUCUACUCACAACAAUCUAUUUUGAAACGUUGGCAAGCUCCCGGUUUUUCAACGUUUUUAUUGUUUUUGUUCCGUAUCGAAAACAGUGCCAGGUUAUACUCGGGAGAAAGUACAUGUGUGCUUAAGGAAACAUUAAAAAAAAUAUACAUAAUAUAAUUAAAUUAAAAAAAUAAAUAAAAAAUAAUAUGCUAUACAGCAUAAUAAUCUAUAGAAAGUUGCCGAUUAAAAAUCGAUUUUGUGUGGGAAUUCCUUUCGUUUUCGAGUAGACUAAAUAAUUUAACAUUCCGUUUUUAUUUGUGAUAGAGAUUUAUUUAUAGUGUUCAAAUUUGAAGUUUUAUAUUUCUGUCUUAAUUUCUUCUCUUUCUAUAAAAAUGGUCGUUAAAAUUAUUUGGUAAGAUUAUUUUUGAUUGUGUUCAAUAAAGUAACAGUAGCCUAACAUUGUUUUAAUUAUGAAAUUGUCAUCAAAAACUAAAAAAAUAGUCUUUCACGGCAGCCAAUUUUCACAUCUGCUGUUGUAUAUAUUUAUGUGUGUAUUACAAAUACUAUGUAAUGCAAGUUUAUUCUUUUUGUUUUUUAUUGCUUAGAUGGGUGGACAAGCUCACAGCCCACCUGUUUGUUAAGUGGUUACUGGAGCCCAUAGACGUCUACAACGUAAAUGCGCCACCCACCUUGAGAUAUAAGUUCUAAGGUCUCAGUAUAGUUACAACGGCUGCCCCACCCUUCAAACCGAAACGCAUUACUGCUUCACGGCAGAAAUAGGCAGGGUGGUGGUACCUACCCGUGCGGACUUACGAGAGGUCCGACCACCAGUAAAUAUUCAUUAUAUAUCUAUAUUUUAAGUCUUCAUUUAUUUCUAUACGUCUCAAUUAAUCGCAAAUCGAUGCCUGUGUUUGAAUCGAUAUUAUUAUUUUGAUCAUUUAAAAAAAAAAAACCAUUAACCUAAAUACAUAGCCUAAUCGCACAGUCAUUAAAAAAAACCAUAUAAACAAUAUCUUCAUCAUACCAUAAUGGGUCAAGGUCGUAUUUAAGAUAAUAAGAUUAAUUUGUCAUCUUCAGUUUUUAUUCAACAAAAUCUGUAAGCAUAACCUUUCACCCCUCGAAAUCAUAAAAUGAAAUUGUUAACAAUGUGUUUUCUGGGAGUUCAAUUACCUUGAGUUACUGGUACUAAAUUAGUACUACUAAAUACCUCUGGAACAUUUAAUGGUCGAUUCACGAAAGCGUAACUCGGACCGUUAAACCAGUUUUGCCGAUAAAACCGUAAUAAAUCGGAAACUAUUAAUUUUAAUUCUCGAAACGUGUCUAGAUAGUUACGAUAAUUUAAAAAAAACAGAAUUCAUUGGCUUAUUAGCCCUUUUAGUGCUGAGCUAAUUUUUACAUAUUUUGCAGAAAUUGCUAAAGGAA